AAUCUUGAGUGCCUGCAGACGUUGCCUAAUAACUAAAAAGAGACAAACACAGCAGGUCUCUCCUGGCUCCAGUAAGGAGGCAGUAAUUCACUAAAGAAGGGACUCUGCACCUGCUGUGAUGGCUGCUUUAUGCUCAUGUGUGCACCAGAGGCUGUCUGUGCAUAACCAUAUAAGUGUAAAGUGGAGGAAGUAACAUCACUACUGUGGGUCUGGAGGUAGAGAGCUGUAUGAGGAUCCCAAACAAAAAAAGCUUUGAUUGAUUGCUGAGGUGACCUUGAAACUGACACCUGAAGGAUGAGUAAAGCUAAUCUGAAGCAAGAAAUUCUCUGUGGAAGACACGUGGUAAAUGAGUGGCAGUUUCUGCAAGAAACAUAAUAUGAGAUAUCUUCAGCUUUUGAAGUGGAACAUGGAGGGA
ensembl:lncRNA